rnacentral:rRNA from 1 species
GAAUUCGCCCUUAGAGUUUGAUCCUGGCUCAGGACGAACGCUGGCGGCGCGCCUAACACAUGCAAGUCGAACGAGCGAGAGAGAGCUUGCUUUCUCGAGCGAGUGGCGAACGGGUGAGUAACGCGUGAGGAACCUGCCUCAAAGAGGGGGACAACAGUUGGAAACGACUGCUAAUACCGCAUAAGCCCACGGGUCGGCAUCGACCAGAGGGAAAAGGAGCAAUCCGCUUUGAGAUGGCCUCGCGUCCGAUUAGCUGGUUGGUGAGGUAACGGCCCACCAAGGCAACGAUCGGUAGCCGGACUGAGAGGUUGAACGGCCACAUUGGGACUGAGACACGGCCCAGACUCCUACGGGAGGCAGCUGUGGGGAAUAUUGCACAAUGGGGGAAACCCUGAUGCAGCGACGCCGCGUGGAGGAAGAAGGUCUUCGGAUUGUAAACUCCUGUUGUUGAGGAAGAUAAUGACGGUACUCAACAAGGAAGUGACGGCUAACUACGUGCCAGCAGCCGCGGUAAAACGUAGGUCACAAGCGUUGUCCGGAAUUACUGGGUGUAAAGGGAGCGCAGGCGGGAAGACAAGUUGGAAGUGAAAUCCAUGGGCUCAACCCAUGAACUGCUUUCAAAACUGUUUUUCUUGAGUAGUGCAGAGGUAGGCGGAAUUCCCGGUGUAGCGGUGGAAUGCGUAGAUAUCGGGAGGAACACCAGUGGCGAAGGCGGCCUACUGGGCACCAACUGACGCUGAGGCUCGAAAGUGUGGGUAGCAAACAGGAUUAGAUACCCUGGUAGUCCACACCGUAAACGAUGAUUACUAGGUGUUGGAGGAUUGACCCCUUCAGUGCCGCAGUUAACACAAUAAGUAAUCCACCUGGGGAGUACGACCGCAAGGUUGAAACUCAAAGGAAUUGACGGGGGCCCGCACAAGCAGUGGAGUAUGUGGUUUAAUUCGACGCAACGCGAAGAACCUUACCAAGUCUUGUCAUCCCUUGACGAUGCUGGAAACAGUAUUUCUCUUCGGAGCAAGGAGACAGGUGGUGCAUGGUUGUCGUCAGCUCGUGUCGUGAGAUGUUGGGUUAAGUCCCGCAACGAGCGCAACCCUUAUGGUCAGUUACUACGCAAGAGGACUCUGGCCAGACUGCCGUUGACAAAACGGAGGAAGGUGGGGAUGACGUCAAAUCAUCAUGCCCUUUAUGACUUGGGCUACACACGUACUACAAUGGCGUUAAACAAAGAGAAGCAAGACCGCGAGGUGGAGCAAAACUCAGAAACAACGUCCCAGUUCGGACUGCAGGCUGCAACUCGCCUGCACGAAGUCGGAAUUGCUAGUAAUCGUGGAUCAGCAUGCCACGGUGAAUACGUUCCCGGGCCUUGUACUCACCGCCCGUCA